rnacentral:rRNA from 1 species
GACGAACGCUGGCGGCGUGCUUAACACAUGCAAGUCGAACGGAAAGGCCCUGCUUUUGUGGGGUGCUCGAGUGGCGAACGGGUGAGUAACACGUGAGUAACCUGCCCUUUACUUUGGGAUAACUUCAGGAAACUGGGGCUAAUACCGGAUAGGAGCUCCUGCUGCAUGGUGGGGGUUGGAAAGUUUCGGCGGUUGGGGAUGGACUCGCGGCUUAUCAGCUUGUUGGUGGGGUAGUGGCUUACCAAGGCUUUGACGGGUAGCCGGCCUGAGAGGGUGACCGGCCACAUUGGGACUGAGAGACGGCCCAGACUCCUACGGGAGGCAGAAGUGGGGAAUAUUGCACAAUGGGCGGAAGCCUGAUGCAGCAACGCCGCGUGCGGGAUGACGGCCUUCGGGUUGUAAAACGCUUUCGCCUGUGACGAAGCGUGAGUGACGGUAAUGGGUAAAGAAGCACCGGCUAACUACGUG